rnacentral:rRNA from 1 species
ACUCAAAUGAAUUGACGGGGGUCCGCACAAGCGGUGGAACAUGUGGUUUAAUUCGACACUACGCGAGGAACCUUACCUAGGCUUGACAUGCAUAUGACAGCUAUAGAAAUAUAGUCUUUUCUGGGAAACCAGAGACAUUUGCACAGGUGCUGCAUGGCUGUCGUCAGCUCGUGUCGUGAGAUGUUGGGUUAAGUCCUAUAACGAGCGCAACCCUUGCUAUCAGUUGCUACCCUUUUAGGGGCACUCUGGUGGGACUGCCUGGGAAACCAGGAGGAAGGUGGGGAUGACGUCAAGUCCGCAUGGUCCUUAUGCCUAGGGCCACACACGUGUUACAAUGGCUAAUACAAAGGGUUACCAACCAGCAAUGGGGAGUUAAUCUCAUAAAGUUAGUCUAAGUUCAGAUUGAGGUCUGCAACUCGACCUCAUGAAGUUGAAAUCGCUAGUAAUCGCGUAUCAGAUCGACGCGGUGAAUACGUUCUCGGACCUUGUACACACCGCCCGU